GCAAACGUUGCUCGGAAUCAUUGGGCGUAAAGCGCACGUAGGCGGCCUAGCAAGUAGGGAGUGAAAGCCCUCGGCUUAACCGAGGAAGUGCUUUCUAAACUACUAGGCUUGAAUACUGGAGAGGGUCGCGGAAUUCCCGGUGUAGAGGUGAAAUUCGUAGAUAUCGGGAGGAACACCGGUGGCGAAGGCGGCGACCUGGGUCGAUACUGACGCUGAUGCGCGAAAGCGUGGGGAGCAAACAGG
rnacentral:rRNA from 1 species